AUGGCAGAGGGUGUGCAUGACUCAAUCUCCUACAUCACUAUGUUCCCUGAAGUCCAAGUCUGUGAUACAGAGGAAGAGCGAGCUAUUCAAGGAAACAAGAAGGCAAGGAGGACAGAUGUAAGCAGAGCCCCGAUGUUCCCAGAUCACCUGCUUCAGUGGUCCCUUCGCCUUUCUCAGCAGUGCUACCACAUCACCCACAUUAAGAAGCCCAUCAUAGACAAACUGACACUCCCACCACGCUUCCUGGUUUGCACAAGAGAUGACAUCUAUGAGGAUAAAAAUGGUAGACACUGGGUAGCUGCAAAUGUGGAAACUUGUUCCAACUCACCAUAUUACUACAGGAUUGGAACCUGUGUAACUGUCCACUUGUGUCAGAUGACCAAACUCCCACGCGAGCCUAGUCCCAACUCUCACGAAUUUCAACUUUCUACCCACAAUGUGGAGCUUAGAAUCCAGGAACACAUACUGGGGAACAGAUGGCAUGCACUGGAGAUUACUGAAUCAUUCCAAGUGUUUUGGCCCAGAGGAACUGAUCCUGAUGCUGGAGUCAAGGUCUUGAUAGCCUGGCUGGCUCCUGGCCCUGUGCCCUCAGGGUAGACUUUGCACCCACUCCUCUGCUUGUUCCUCAAGUUUCUAGUUCUACAGCACCUCCUGCCAUGGUUAGACCUGCUUUUUAGAGGAUCUACUGUCUGUGAGCCUGGCCUAUCUGUGCCCUGACUGAUCUCCGUAGCUGGAGACAAACUGCAUCAUCUCUUGCCCACUUUGUGCCUCUGGCCCUGACCUUAUAGAUGGCUUUUCUUAAUGCCCCUCCUCACUUCAAACACCUCCAACUGGGAUUGUAUUGUUGCAUGUGUCAAGAGAUUUGUCCCCAUUUACCUAAGAGGUCUAGAGGUCCCUCUGGAGGAGGUAGGGACUCUAUGCCCUGUGGGCCUCUGAGCUAUCACUGGCAAGAAGGUUGUCUGGUGCUUGGUAGAAGACACUCCAUGCUCAGUAGCUUGAAGGCCCAGUGGGAGACUUACAGAGAACAUCUGGAAUACUUCUCAGGGGGCUCAGUUUCUUGACUCCAGGAAGUGAUUCUAACCCUAGGCCCCUCCCUCCCCAAACUUGUUUUUAACUAAUUAAACUUCACUGCUUUUACUU